rnacentral:lncRNA from 1 species
UUUUUUAAUUAUGUCCGUGCAUCUUUAAUGUAACGACCUAAUCCGCUUGUAAUAUUAUUAUUAGCGUGUAUGCCUCAUAUAUUUUUAAUAAUCCUCAUCAGAAUUAUCAAGAUUACAUAUCACAGACAUACAGACCAUAUGUGGCAGACCAGAAUUUUAGACGAUGUGAGAUUAUGGGUUCAAGUGGUGGCUCCGAAUAAAUCCGUUGGUGUAUCACAUUACCCUAUAUAGCACUUAACUCUCACACUUCCGGCUAGUAUUCGAUUUUGAUACUAAUUGUUUUGAUACUAAUUGUAACGAUUCGACCCGCUAGCAAUAAUAAUUUAUUGGGCCUAAACCACUGACCUAAAAUAUUUAAACCUGAUUAUUAUUACUAGCAUGUAAGUCUCAUAUAUUCUAAAUAAAAUUAUUUUUUCAUCUGAUGUGAGAUAAGAAAUUUUGGGAGUGUUAUGUUUACAUAAGAAAUUUUUUUUGUAACAGAUAGAAUA